GGAGAGGUGUCCGAGAGGUCGAAGGUGACAGACUCGAAAUCUGUUGUACCGCAAGGUACCGUGGGUUCGAAUCCCACCCUCUCCGCCA
rnacentral:tRNA from 1 species